AUGCUAGCCAACGGGAUCCAACAACACAUCGGGGAGAUCACUCACCCGGACCAGAUCAUUCACCGGAUGAGGCACUCUCUGGCAACAUGGCGGGUACGGAGGAGACAGACAGUGGCCUCGAGCAGCCACCUGAAUAGCGAUCUGGUUCCUGACGAGUGGGAGGACGGAGCUGCCUCCAUGGCUGAAGAAGCAGCCAAGAGGAAGAGAUGGAAGAAGAGUAAAGGGACUGGCGCAGCAGGGCAGCAGGAACAUGAUAAAGAAGCCACAGUGGAUAAAGUAGCAACACAGUUGGAAAAACAAGCUCUGGUAGAAAGGAGAGAGAUGAUGAUGAUGACGAAGAUGGAGAUGGUGAUGGAGAUGGAGCAGCUGGAAGAAGUAGGAAAAGAAGAAGAAAGAAUCAAAAACUCAAACAGGCCUUCCCUCAAUUCCAGUAUGUGAACAGUAUCCAAAUGGUGUCUAGCACAAAGGACAGGAGUGUGAAUACCCCCCACACAAGAUGGGCGAACAACUGCUUGGAGAACUACAAGUGAAGAAAAGAAAGCUUUAGAUCAAGCGAGUGAAGAAAUUUGGAAUGAUUUUCAGAAAACUGCAGAAGCACAUUGACAAGUUUGAAAAUAUGUCAUGAGCUGGAUCAAGGAAUGACAAUGAUAGAAAUCUGUGAAAAGUUGAAAGACUGCUCACGCAAGCUAAUCAAAGAAAAUGGAUUGAGCGUGGGCCUGGCAUUUCCUACUGGGUGUUCUCUCAACAAUUGUGCCACCCAUUAUACUCCCCAUGCUGGUGACACAACAGUAUUACAGUAUGAUAACAUCUGCAAGAUAGACUUUGGAACACACUUAAGGAAGGAUUAUCGACUGUGCUUUUACUGUCACUUUUAAUCCUAAAUAUGGACAAUUAUUAAAAGCAGUGAAAGAUGCUACUAAGGCCCGAAUAAAGUGUGCUGGAAUUGAUGUUCAACUGUGUGACGUUAGUGAGGCCAUCCAAGAAGUUAUGGAAUCCUAUGAAGCUGGAAUAGAUGGGAAGACAUCAAGUGAAACCAAUCUGUAAUCUAAAUGGAUAUUCAAUUGGGCCAUAUAGAAUACAUGCUGGAAAAACUGUGCCCAUUGUAAAAGGAGGAGAAGCUACAAGAAUAGAGGAAGGAGAUGUAUAUGCCAUUGAAACCUUUGGUAGUAUAGGAAAAGGUGUUGUUCAUGAUGAUACAGCAUGCUCACAUUACAUGAAAAAUUUUGAUGUCGGACAUGUGCCAAUAAGGCUUUCAAGAGCAAAACACAUGCUAAAUGUCAGCAAUAAAAACUUUGGCACCCUGGCCUUCUGCCGCAGAUGGCUAGAUCACCUGGGAGAAAGCAAAUAUCUGAUGGCUCUGAAGAAUCUGUGUGACUUGGGCAUUGUCAACCUGUAUCCACCAUUGCAAGACAUCAAAGGAUCGUAUACAGUGCAGUUUGAACAUACCAUACUGCUGCAUCCAACAUGUAAAGAAGUGGUCAGUAGAGGAGAUGACUAUUAAAUUUAGUCCAAAGCCACCUCAACAUCUUACUUUUUGAGUUUUGUUGGAAUACAUUGUACCAGAAUUAAUUUGCAAUAUCUAUUUUAACAGUGGACCUAUAAAAA